UUCCAUAUUUAAUAUUUUAUGGUAUUACCUGCUCUAUGUUUAUUAUAAAUGGCCGCAGUAUCUUGACUGUGCGAAGGUAGCAUAAUUAAUUGCCUUAUAAUUGAAGGCUUGUUUGAAUGGUUUGACGCGGUAAACGCAAAUGUUUAUUUUUUUUUUGAAAUUUAUUUAGAGGGCACAGAAUCCUCUACUUUUAAUUAGACGGAAAGACCCCAGGAUCUUUGUUUUUUGUCUGGGGCAGAUUCUUAUAUUUCAUAAGUAUUUUGAUCCUUUAAAGUUUAAUGAUUUAAGUUACCCUGGGGAUAACAGUGUAAUAGUUUAAAAGAGUUCAUAUCGAAUAAACUGUUUGCUACCUCGAUGUUGACUUAGGUAAAUAGUGUAGGCGCAGUAGUCUAUUCUUUUGGUCUGUUCGACCAGUUCUACCUCC
rnacentral:rRNA from 1 species